rnacentral:lncRNA from 1 species
UACGUCCUUAAUACAUCACUACUAGAUGCUUAUGUUACUUCGUUCUGUCCGGUUAUUAGCACUCAUGUUUACUUCCGCACUGAAAACUGAAAGACUGAAUGUAAAGUAUGGAUGCCGUGUAUGUGGACCUUGUGUUGUAAUUCAGUUUAAUGCGCUAGGCGAAAAAACCAAAAAAAUAUAUUAUGCAUGUAAUCCUCGAGCAUUGACUAUUAAUAUCUUCUGCUAGCUAUGGUUGCGAUGGGGCGUUGGUCAUUAUUUCUCUCUGAUUAUUCCAUCUGUGUGCUUGUUAUGCUGUUUCUUUGUAUGUUUUACUUAGGGUGUGUCUAGGGCACAUCUAGAUGUGCUCUAGUUAUUGCACAUCUAAGUGGGUGAAUCAAGUAUAAAGAGAAAAAGAAAAAAGAAAAUAUUCACACGAAUCUCAAUAUAAGAUCAAUGACAUAUGACUUAGAUGUGCAAUACUUACUAGUUAUGCUUUUCUUAGCUUAACUUUAGCUUGCUAUUUAUUCAAAGACAUCGGAAACCUCUGAUGCAAUAAUGUGCAGACUAUAUAAUUCCACACUUGACAAGAGUUCUUUACUCACACCCUCUUUAGUCAAAACAUGAGCAGCACUAGUCGCUGUUCGAUGAGCCCAGCUUACCUUAUACGCUGCGCCUGGAGCCCCUUUUUGAGGUCCUUGAUUAGUGUCCCAACAGCUGGUAGGUUCUUCUCCUUGCUUCGCAGCAUAUCGACCACCACCUUACAGUAAGCUUGACAUGACCACCUCCUUGCAGUCAAGCUUGGCAUUCUUUUCCUCAGCAAGCUGCAACGCUGGCUGGCACGCCAGAAUUUCGACGACCUCCAGAUUCGACGCCUCCGGAAAGAAGUAACAAGCACUUCCUCGGAAAGCGCCGGGCCGCCGGUGUGGUCUCUGAACAAAACACCACCCUCUCCUUUGUCAGCAAGUUUCAAGACAGCCCUAUCAACGCUCAUCUUCAGCCAACCAUCUUCUUGAGCCUGUCUCCACUCAUUCAUACAAGUCAUCACCGAGUCUACUAUCACUUGUGGUGCCGCAAUAUUCUCCCCUUCCGUUGCUUUGAGCGUCCACGAGCAUGACGCUUUACCACGCCACCCCCUCUCGCUGUUGCUCGUCCUUGAACUAUACCAUCUGCAUGCACUAACCUUCCAAAAUCAAAGCAAAAGUGGGACAUCUUUUCAUAGCAAAAAUCAUACCAAGUCCUCUUCUUAUCUUCCAGUGAUGCUUUGAGGUAGAACCCCCGCACAAGCGGAUCAAAAACUGACAGCUUUGCACGCACACGAAGACGUUUGCUUCUGGAAAAACCAUCUGUCUUUCUCUACAUCAACACGAACCACUUCACCAAGCCAGUUGCCCAACGCUUUGCUAAAAUCCUCAGAUCUUCUAUCUAGCGGCAGAUCUGUCACACAAACCCACAUUUGCACUGUGUUAAAACCCCUCUCCGACGGCCUGACAUCACCCUCAUAGUCCUUGAGAACUAUCACAUGCAAGUCAAACUGCCGCGGUCCAUUGUUAACCGCAUGUUUUCAGUCUCCUUUGCUUCCAAAGUGGACAACAAGGAUGUCUCUGAAUUGUGCUUCGCGGUGCAGACCCCAAGCCCCCAUCAUUGUUCUUUCUAGCGCAUGUAUGUAAGACUGUAAGUAUGUUCACCGGCCGGGGUGAGCAGACUUUGCCCAUGGCAGACCAUCUCUCCUGCCCCGGUCUUGGAACACAAAGCUUGCCGACUCCUUCUCAGUAAGCAGCAGGUCUCCCAUCCUUGCAGUGAGCCUGGCCGCCUCUUCCGACUCCUUCCCUUCCUUCGGCGAUUUCUUCGAACCCCUGCUUGCUGAUCCCGUUGCCGUCCUCGCCGUUUGCGUUGGAGUCUUUUGCGUUUUGGCUGCCGCGCCGUCGCCACCCCACACGCCUCACCACCCCCUGAGAGGAAAAACCUAACCUAAGCUAGCGGCGGAAGACGAUCGCCCUACAAUCGCCUCUCCUGGAAAGCCCCUGGUGGUGGACUCGCUCCGUAGAACUACACUUUUCUGGUGUUGAUUUAUUUGGCUUUGUGCACGCAUGCAUGCACUUCCAGUUUGAGCGUGAAUUGUACUAGGAUCGUUUCCGAGAAAUUUUUUGCCACAGCGCUUUUGCGUCUUUUUCGUUCCAAUAAAGCUGUUCGAGAUGAGUGUGCGUGUAUGUGGUGUGCACUGUGUCGUCCUUGUAACAGUGCGUUAUAAAACUUGGAUGAACAAAGAGUAUAUACAACCAAGACACGUUUAUCCAAAUUCAAGCACACAUCGAUCAAACUAUCGUCACACAACUUUAGACUUCUCCUGAGAUAUAUGUUUCUGACCUAAUAAAUCUUCUAAUGGUACCAAUCUCCCCUAACAUUUUUAUACGUAUAUAUCAAACUGCAUGUUUGCCGUAUUAUAUUCAUCGAUCACUGCUUGUCCUCGACGGCGACGGGUGGCUCCUCCUCCUUCGCCUCCUGCAUGAUGGUGACGCCGAAGAUCCUCAGGCAGCCCGCCGGUACUGCCGGCGGCUGCACCGCCACCUCGGCAGCUGGCGCCUGUGGCGCUGGCCCGGGGAUCGCGAGCCCGAGGUGAUCCGGGGGCAAGAGGAGGCGCGCCCGCUUCCUCGGCACGAUGGGCUUGCCUGUGUAGUGCUUCCUCAUGUGGCCCCCGAGUCGGACGCCGCUGCUGUACACGGCGCCGCAUACCUUGCAGGUGUGCUGUUUCACCGGCCUGGGCGCGCCCGCGGCGUGGUCAAUCGGGUCGAUCCCGGCGGCUAUGGCUGCGGCGGCCGCCGCCGCGAUCCGCCGGUUCUUGUGGCCGGCGACGUGGCCGCCCAGCCCCUGGUGCGUCGGGAACCACCGGUAGCACUCCUUGCACGAGAACCCAGGCGGGGCGGCCGGGUCCUGGUGCGGGAUCAUGUGCAGCGGCCCGUGGAAGGCAUGCAGCGGCGCCGCGGCCUGCGGUGGGGGGGCGAAGACAUGCUGCUGUGCGGGGGCGGGCGGGUGGAGGUAGACGGCGGCUGGCUCUGGUGCUGGUGCGACCGGAGGGGGGACGGGGACUUGCGGCGGUGCAGGAGGCGUCGGGGCGAUGUCGACUUGCUUGGGUGCAGCGGCCGGUGGUGCUGCCUCUGCCACCACGAUGGCCAUGGAAAGAUCAGCAGCACUCUGACUGGGCUUCACGCUUGCGCUGCCGCUGCCGGGGACAACCUGAUCGCUGCUGGCCACCUCCACGGGCAUCGGGUCGUCCGAGAUCUUGGGCUCCGCUACGACAUUGGGCAUGGACACGGACACGGAGUCGUCCACGGCGCUGACCGCAGCAGACACCUUGUCCUCCUCCCUGGGCUGCGCCUGCGCGUGGACCCUCAUGUGGCCAUGCACGGCCUUGGAGCUGUGGAACUGCCUGUGGCAGACGGGGCAGGCCGGGAAUAAUGCGGUGACGGCAGCAGCGUCGCUGAUGGUCCUGCCGGAACCGAGCGAGGAUGUGGGCGAAGAGUCCCGGGUAGUCAAUCUUGAUCCUGAGACGGCGCCGCCGCCCCCGACGACCACGUCCUCCGGUACCGGGACAGUGCCGGGCCGCGCGACCGUGACCAUCAUCCCCCGGGCCCGGCGGUCGUCGCGGUGGGGCACUGGGUGGAGGUAGUAGCGCGCGUCCUCGUCGUCGGUGUCGGUGUCGGAGCCCGUUCUGUAGGCGGAGACGACCUCGCCCUCCUCGAUCUCGCGGCGCCGGCGAUCAGCGGGAUCGGCCAUGGAAGGAAACCAGAUCGAUCGAUCGGCAGUGAGGGUUCGGUAUCGCUACGCUACGCUACGCUACGCUACGCUACGCUGGAGGGUUUAGGGCUUGGCUUGUGUUGUGGGGGGGCUUGCGCCUGCGCUUUGCUUGUGGGGUGGAGGGAGAUAGAGGAGGAGUGGGUUGCCUUAUAUGGAGAGCGAGGGGCUUGGGUGAGGGGUAGAUCCGUUCUGCGGCGGCAAGGCGUAGUGGGACUCGGAGGCGGGGUAGUACUAGAUCGGUAGCUAGGGUUUAAGCCUGCCUAAGCGAGCGGGGGUUCCGUGGCGCGCGAGGCUGCGAUCGAGCUGGGUGGUGGAUCGCGGCGGGGGGUGGGAUGGGAGUCCGCUUCGGAGACGAUGGACGAUCGAUGGCGGGUGAAGGAAGGAAAGGCUGGGAUCGAUCCGGUUUGUUACGCGGUUUAAACGGGAUUCGCCUGCUGUUAAAUUUGACGGACUGACAGCGCGGCGCGGCAGAUAGAGAUAGAGAGAGAGAGAGNNNNNNNNNNNNNNNNNNNNNNNNNNNNNNNNNNNNNNNNNNNNNNNNNNNNNNNNNNNNNNNNNNNNNNNNNNNNNNNNNNNNNNNNNNNNNNNNNNNNNNNNNNNNNNNNNNNNNNNNNNNNNNNNNNNNNNNNNNNNNNNNNNNNNNNNNNNNNNNNNNNNNNNNNNNNNNNNNNNNNNNNNNNNNNNNNNNNNNNNNNNNNNNNNNNNNNNNNNNNNNNNNNNNNNNNNNNNNNNNNNNNNNNNNNNNNNNNNNNNNNNNNNNNNNNNNNNNNNNNNNNNNNNNNNNNNNNNNNNNNNNNNNNNNNNNNNNNNNNNNNGAGAGAGAGAGUUGUACAGAAAAAAAACAAUCCUUGGAAGCAGAUCUCAACCGGAUCUGAUCGAUAUUUCUUCGCCAACAAGAUAGGAGUAGUAUCUUAGUGGUGGCAAAGGGAAGUUAAUUAAACCGGUGAAGAGAGUAGAGAUAGAGAGGAGUCUACGUACAUAUAUAGAAUCCUUUUAGGAGAACUGAGCGUAUAAUUUGCAUUUUUUUAUUUCUCCCGUGGUAUUGCCAAAGCACACACCAAAAAAGAUCGCAGCAUUCCAAGCAAACCAAUGUAACAUUCUCAUUUUCGUGUAAAAAAGUAACAAAUCUCCACUUGUCGCAACAAAGCCCUCGACCGAGAAGAAUCAUGGCACCGUAUAACAUGAGAUGAAUAAUUCGCAAAAAAGCGAACAUGAAAAAAUAUUUCAAAGGAUGCAUGAACACAAUGUUUGCAGCAGGCCUUCGGACUCAUCGGGGCAUUUCAUCUAUGUGUUUGCAGCAAACCAUAUAUGGGAUCGUAACAUAUGAGGGAAUGUAUGCCAAAUCAUGUGAUUGCAACCCUAUCAUCCCGAGGAUUUUCGCCAAAGCCAUGCAACAAUUUUUUUUGAAGAAGAGCAACGGCGUUGCAUUUCAUUGAUGAAGAAGAAGAAGGCACACUACAACGACUAGACUAAGCACACAAACCCAAAACAUCAUGCAAGCAUACCACAACAACACCACGCCCUACAAGAGACGAAUCUUGGUUUCAAAGAUCACACGAAGGCUUGACAAGGGGAGGCAGGUCUUGCUCUACCAUCAUCAUCGAACCAAGCAAGGCGGAUGCCUUGAGCUUUGGCCGUCUGGGUGCCACUCGAUAGCCCCCUCAAAGACAGGGAGGUGUGUCCUAUGGGAACGAGAUUAUCCGAGAAGGACCAUACUCGCUAACUCGACUUCAAACGCAAACAUCAGACUUAGCCACCACUAGAUUGAGAACUUGGAUCGCAUAUGUCCAACACCAACAACACCGAUCACCGCCUACCACUGGUCCCUCCAAAUGAUAGCAACUCCAAAGAUGAUGCCGUAAGAGGAGUGACGUACAAACGUCAUCAUCAUCCGAUCCCCUAGAGGAUCUGAGGUUUCCCUAGAGUUACCAUCCAAGACGAAGAAGCGAGCACAUCGUCUUGAGGACUAACGAUGUAUGAUACCAGCGGUGGCCCGUCGGUUGACAAGAUGGACGAUGGGCUGGCCUCAUGGCCUAUCAGGCCGAAGUGUUCCUGAUACGCCUCCAACGCAUCUAUAAUUUAUAAAGUAUUCAUGCCAUGUUUAUAACAAUUUUAUAUGGUUUUGGUAUGAUUUGAUUAGAACUAACCCGGACUGACGCCGUUUUCAGCAGAACUACCGAUGUGUCGUUUUUUUGUGCACAAAUAAAAGUUCUCGGAAUAGGCUGAAAAUUUACGGUGAUCGUUUAUGGACCAGAAGAGACUCACGGAACACCGGAGCUGGGCCCAGGAGGUGACCGAGGAGGCCACAAGCCAGGGGGGCUCACUCCCCAGGGCAUGCCCAUACGGCUUGUGGGCCCCUCGGGCAUCCUCCUGACUUGAUUCCAACGCCAAGUACCCCUAUAUAUCCGGUAACCUCUAGAAAGAACCCUAGAUGAGAAGUUCCGCCGCCGCAAGCCUUUGUGCCCACAAAAAAUCUCUAGGCCCUCUCGGGCACCCUGCCGGAGGGGGCCAUCAUCACUGGAGGCCAUGGAGGAGGAAGCCAAGGGGGGAGACUCUCCCCCCCUCUCUCUUGGUGGCGCCGAAGUGCUGCCGGGGGAAUAAUCGCCGUGGUGACCGUCUUCAUCACCUCCCUCAUCUUUUUUCAAUGGUCCACUCUUCCACACCCCGCUGUAAUCCCCUACUUGAACAUGGUGCUUUAUGCCACAUAUUAUGAUCCAAUGAUGUGUUGCCAUCCUAUGAUGUUUUGAGUAGAUUUCUUUUGUCUUUUGGGUUGAGUGAUGAUCUAGAUUGGUUUGAGUUGUAUGCUUUAUUUUGGUGCUGUCCUAUGGUGCUUUCCGUGCUGCGCACACGUGAAGGAUUCCCGCUGUAGGGUAUUGCAAUACGUUCAUGAUUCGCUUAUAGUGGGUUGCUAGAGUGACAGAAGCUUAAACCCGAGUAAGGGGGUUGUUGCGUAUGGGAGUAAAGAGGACUUGAUAUUUAAUGCUAUGGUUAGGUUUACCUUAAUGAUUUCUAGUAGUUGCGGAUGCUUUCUAGAUUUCCAAUCAUAAGUUCAUAUGAUCCAAGUACGGAAAGUAUGUUAGCUCAUGCCUCUUCCUCAUAUAGAAUUACAAUAAUGAUUACCGAUCUGGUUAACAAUUGCCUAGGAUAAUUCCGCACAUCGAUCCAUCAUUGUUCCACACUCUCCUUUUGUAAUAUAUUAUGAUAUAUUCUAACUUUAUGAUAAGAAUACCUAUUUUUAUAUUUUAGUUCUCCGAUAUCAUGCAAAGCUAUCCUCUUCAUACCCACAACACAAUUUUAUUUCUCGUUUCUAGAUGCAAGCAAACGUUCGGUGUACGUAGAGUCGUAUUAGUGGCAGAUAGGACUUGGGAGAAUAUUGAUCCUACCUUUAGCUCCUUGUGGGUUCGACACUCCAAACUUAUCACUCCCACCUUUAGAAAUUGCUACGAUGAUUCCUUGCACUUGGGGAUUAUCAAGCUUUUUCUGGCGCUGUUGCCGGGGAGCAAUAGCGUGGGGUUUAUAUUCUCGCAUGUGCUUGUUUACUUUCUUCACUAACACUGCGUUUGGAUGUCUUCAUUGGGGGCCUUGUAUUGGAUUUGGUAUUGGUAAGUUUCAUUUCACCUGUUUGGCUGGACACUGAAUUGGCGGUUGGUAAUGAAACUAAAUUCAGGAUGAAAUCACUCCCACGAAAACAGCUUCACUACAAAAAAAGACACAUCCGUGACAUUUUGGGCCGAAUGAAUUUUUUUUCUGUCAUACUUACGACACUUCUAUGACAAUAAUUGUGACAAAACCCGAUAUCAUCAUAGAUGUGGUGGGCUCCUACUUCUAUGACAAAAAAUCAUGACAGAAAAUGGGCUUUUCAUCCUGGGCGGGCCGGAGACGCAGCUGCAUGACAUUCUUUGGGCCGUCCAUGACGGAAAAAACCGUGGUAGAAGCGAGGGCUAGGAAAAUAUCUGGGUGUUCCCGGUUACGGUGGGUAGUCGGGGCCGAGCGAUGCACGGAGGUUUGCGCGUUUCUCUCGUACACACACCGCGUGGGUGCGAGGCGUUGGGCUCUAACUGAACCCGAGCGAGGCGUUUGCCUACUGAACCCGAGCGAUUGCACUGCAGGCUACGCGUUACUGAACCCAAGCGAUUGAUCGAUGGCUGUUAACUGAACCCGAUCGAGUGAUUCCUUCGCUACUGCUGCUAACUGAAGCCGAUCGAUGCUGCCUCUGGAUGAACAAUGAGCGUUGCUGGGGGGGUUUGGAUGAACAGUUCCCGAUGGGGGUGGAUGAACAUGACCCCAUGGUGUUGCCUCUGGAUGAACAGGACCCCGAUCGAUCGAGCCGGUUGGGGCUGGAUGAACAGGACCCCGUGGAGGGCUGGAUGAACAGGACCACCCCGUGGAGGGCUGGAUGAACAGUAGACGGUGGAGGGCUGGAUGAACAGUAGCCUGUGGAGGGGUGGUUGAACAGGAGCCCGUGGAGAGGGCUGGUUGAACAGUAGCCGGUGGAGUAGCGCGCGGUGGAGGCUGGAUGAACAGGAGCCCGUGGAUGAACAGUCGCAUGUGGAGGCCGGAGGAGGUCGACGGUGAAUGAACAGUAGCCCGUGGAGGCUGGAGGGGGUCAACGGUGGAGAUGAACAGUAUCCCGUGGAGUCCCGUUUUGCGGUACGCCACACCCCUCCCGAUGAACAUGACCCCCGUUUCGACCGUAGCGCUCCAACAAAAGUCCGUUUCCUCCGUUUUGCGGUACGCCACACCCCUCCCGAUCAACAGGACCCCGUUUCAACCGUAGGAGGUCCAACACAAGUCCGUUUUCUCCGUUUUGCGGUACGCCAGACCCCUCCCGAUGAGUAGGAUCCCGUUUCGAACGUGGCCGGUCAAACACAAGGCCGUUUCCUCCGUUCUGCGGUACGCCAGGCCUCGUUUCCAUCGGCUGUUCCGUCCAAGCCCUCCCGAUGAACACGACGACGUAUUCCAUUCCGACCCAGCCGGUUGGCUCCCCAUGAACACGACGACGACGCUGUUUCUCUGUUCCGACCCAGCCAUGUACACGAGCCCUAGCCGUAUGUAUGCGCAAGUAGGCGUUCGAGACCCCGCCCGUAUGUACGUACGUGGCCGUAUUUUCUUUCUUGCACACUGGCCGCUGUACGUACGUGUACAUGCUACAUACGUGCCUCUACUACGACACGUGCGCGCUCUACAUCGACCAGUAUGUACGUACACGUUCGCGAUCAGAAUGACAACGCUACGUACGCUUCGACCAGGUCGGUCCCGACUGUCAGGCACUUCCUUGCGUGCGAAGAUAUAGCUGGUGGGUCCCAACAGUCAGGGGGGCGAAUCGUUUUUUUUUGCCUGGACGCACUUCCUUACGUGCGAAGAUGUAGCUGGUGGGUCCCAGCAGUCAGGGGGGAACGUUUUUUUUUUGAAAUACGAUGGCCCAUCCGGUGGGUCCCCGCUGUCAGGUGCAGGAAUAAUUAUUUUGCGCGUAAUAAGGAGGCACUUCCUUGCGGCUGCCGUGGACCCAGCUGUCAGCCUCUCCACGUACAGUACUCUUCCGAUGGAAGUCGGUCGUUGACCACAUUGACCACGCCGCACCGAGAGCACCACGACGGUGGACGACGGCGAGGCCUAGGAAGGGGACGACGCGGAGCCGGGGAAGACGCGGCAGUGGAUACCCACACGGAGAGGAGUACGAGGGUUCACUGGUUCGGCUGCGGUGUGAGGCUGCCGUCGCCGCAGAAUAACAGGGGGUGUGGGUGAGUGGAGGGAUGGCCUGGCCAGCGGUGGGAGUAGUAAGGGGCGGUGAGGCCUCUGCGGCAGCACAGCCGACCACGGGAGGCAGGAGCAGGCGGCACGACCGGCGCUGCUUUGGGCGGCUGGAGCAAGAAGACCGAAGGUUGAAGAAGCACGACGGCCGUUGGAUGGACAUCGUACGGUCACUGCAGCUAGAAUCGUUUAUAUUGACUAAGUUGACAAAGCCCUUAGUACGCGUCAACUUAGUAGGCCCACAGGUCAGCCUCCGAAACGGUGCGCCCCAGAUCUUAGGGGGAGGAAUCAUUUUUUGGGCGGCUGAAGCUAGAAUAUCCGAGAUUGAAGAAGAAGCAUGACAUCCGUUGGAUGGACAUCCAACGGCCACUGCUGCUAGAACCAUGUGUUGACUAUAAGUUGACAAAGCCUUGCAUACGCGUCAACUUACUUUUUUUAGGGGACGCGUCAACUUAGUAGGCCCACAAGUGUGUGGCAGAAAACUUAUAGCCCAUUUGCGAUUUGUAAGAAUGUACAGCCUAUUUUUAAAUUCUAAUGGAAUUUACUACAGCUCAUUUACAGUUUGUUAAAAGUACAACCCAUUUUCUAGCUAGGACAACGAUUAAUAAUUUCAACCAACCGUUCAAAACAUAAUUCAAUAAAAUUUCCCACAUUUUGAUGGGAACCGAAAUAUUUUUAUCCCGAAAUUUCUAGUCAGAUUAAAUAUAAAUUUGUAUUACGUAAAAAUCGAACGAAACAUUGCGCGCGCAACAAUUAAAAAUUAAGAUUUUCAAAAUCCAUAAAUAAUAUUUUAUAAACUAAUUUCGUGUUUGGUGCAUUUUUUUAUAGUUACUGCCUAGUUUUUAUAAUUACAUCUCAUUUAUUAUUUUUAAAGCCCAUUUUCCUCUUAAGCCUAAUGCAUCCCUCCUAGAAAAGAUUUGCAACCUAGCGGGGCGGAGAAUAACAAGUUGACCUUGCCUGGGUAUUCCUCAAAAAAACGUACAAUUGGGCUAGCCAUUUUCAUCUUGAAAAAAAUUAAUAUCUGGGCUGGAUAUCUGUCCUGGGCUAGACGGGCCAUAGCCCGCCCAGUUAAUACCCUGCUCUCCUGUGAACAACAAUGAACACAUCGCCAAGAAAAACUCUGCAGUGCUCACGCCUCAAAAACACAAAUACUGCUCGAGCUGCUUGGUCCCAGCUGUCGGCCGCACCUUGUGCAAUUCUCUCGUUUAUAUUGACUACAUACGUUGACAAUGGUGUGGAACCGUGAUGUCAGGAAACCAGGAGGAAGCAAAAAAAAUAUAGUUGUACAUAAUAAGGAGGCACUUGCGUACGUACGGCUAUGGCCCUAGUUGGUCCCUACUGUCAUCCAGUCAAAAUAAAGUCAUCUCCCGAAUCCUCAUGUUCAUUGACCAUGUUAACAAUGCUCGGCGCCACGGCGAGCGCAACAACUCGAAGGACGACGGAGAGGGCCUCGCGGGCCCUACGGAUGGUCUGAUACAGCGCCCGCUGCUCAUUCAGGAAGCCAGGAUCAUCGGACACCUAUGAGCACCUUCGAGAGACUGAGACGGCAUUAAACGGUAAGGCCGCGCUUGGAGCUCUGGUUUAUUUCACACCUGUAUUAAGAUACAAGUGUAAUUUACUCGUCAUCGGAAACAACGCGUAAAAUACAGGCGUAAUGAAACCGAGGGCCCGAGGUCUGUAAGUAAAACCGGCAGGUUACGCGUGUAAUUUGAGAGACCAAUGUAUAUUUUACUAGUCGAAAUCGACCAACCAAGCGCUUCGCUCGAGACCAUCUGCUUUUAUUUACAAGCAUCAGUUUUACAAGCGGUUUUGGUUGGAAAACGACGAUCCAAUCACGGCCUAAGAUGAUGAGUUGGUCGGAAGAUCAUAUGGUUUCACGUCUAAGCUACCCGACUUGUCGUAUAGGCUAAGAAUGAAACAUAAGACGAUGAACUUCUUAAGCACGGAAACAACAUAAGAGGAUGAUCUUCUUAACAAGCAAAUCACUGGCAUUAGAUCAACAUGCAAAACAAUACGAAGCAUUAUUCUCAGGAGGCACGGUGAACAGCUCGUGAUGCCGCAUGCCACAACAUUCCAAGCUCAACUUUGCAAUCAAACACAAGGCCUGACAUUACAUAGACAAUAUUCAGAACAAACUCUUAAAAUAUCUUACAUAAGUCAACAUUCAUGUGACUAUGCAUCUCAGCAGAGUAAAUAUUUACGUCUGAACUGAAGACAGGAAUAGGAAAAAAUGAUCGACGUUGCUCACAGCAAAGGGCGCCCCACUCAAAAAUAUCAAAUGCAUGUCUUCUGGCUAACAUCAAUGAGCAAAAAUUGACAAGGUUUUCCAAUUCCAAUAUAUUAAACUAAUGUCAACUUUGACAAGCUUUUCCCAUUCAAAAUAUGUAAUGCCUAUGAUUGUGGAACGGGCAGGGUUUGUCAUCAGUUUGUCAUCUGAUAGUCCGGUGGCUCAAGGUGACGAAGAAUGAUUAGAGAACCAUUCGAUGCAUUGUGCAUGAUGAAGUAUUAUGGAGGACACGAACCAUCUGAACAUUUUGUGCAGUUCCACUAAAAUCAAGCUGAGCAUACCUGUGGAUUUCGUAUUUAUAUGCUGCCAGAAAGCAAAGACACAUCAGCACACACAUGAAUAUUGGCCCCAGUGUCAACCCACCAAUCGGUGGACUAACAAACUGAAAG